ACUAUAGUGUGUCUAGAGAGUGUUAUAAGAAGAUCUUAGAAAUAAACCCCAAGCUGCAAACCCAGGUGAAAGAUUACCUGAAUCAAGUAGAUCUUCAGGAAAAAGCAGACCUUCAAGAAAAGGAAGCCCGUGAACUGCUGGAUUCAGGAAAGAACACAGCUGUGACCACCAAGAACCUCCUGGAGACCCUUUCCAAGCCUGACCAGAUCCCCUUGUUCUAUGCAGGGGGGAUUGAGAUCCUGACUGAAAUGAUAAAGGAGUGUAAGCCAGAGAUGUGUGUGAUCUCAUGAGUGCUGUCAGUGUGAAGGGACACGUUCAGAGGUCUGCCUUUACCAGGCCAAG
rnacentral:sRNA from 1 species